rnacentral:rRNA from 1 species
GACGAACGCUGGCGGCGUGCUUAACACAUGCAAGUCGAACGGUAAGGCCCCAGCUUGCCGGGGUACACGAGUGGCGAACGGGUGAGUAUCACGUGGUGACCUGCCCCGCACUUCGGGAUAAGCCUGGGAAACUGGGUCUAAUACCGGAUAGGACCGCACCGUGAGGGUGUGGUGGAAAGUUUUUCGGUGUGGGAUGGGCCCGCGGCCUAUCAGCUUGUUGGUGGGGUAAUGGCCUACCAAGGCGGCGACGGGUAGCCGGCCUGAGAGGGUGGACGGCCACAUUGGGACUGAGACACGGCCCAGACUCCUACGGGAGGCAGCAGUGGGGAAUAUUGCACAAUGGGCGGAAGCCUGAUGCAGCGACGCCGCGUGGGGGAUGACGGCCUUCGGGUUGUAAACUCCUUUCACCAUCGACGAAGGUUUUCUGACGGUAGAUGGAGAAGAAGCACCGGCUAACUACGUGCCAGCCGCCGCAGUAAUAC